rnacentral:rRNA from 1 species
AUUGAACGCUGGCGGCAGGCCUAACACAUGCAAGUCGAGCGGAUGAAGGGAGCUUGCUCCUGGAUUCCGCGGCGGACGGGUGAGUAAUGCCUAGGAAUCUGCCUGGUAGUGGGGGAUAACGUCCGGAAACGGGCGCUAAUACCGCAUACGUCCUGCGGGAGAAAGUGGGGGAUCUUCGGACCUCACGCUAUCAGAUGAGCCUAGGUCGGAUUAGCUAGUUGGUGGGGUAAAGGCCUACCAAGGCGACGAUCCGUAACUGGUCUGAGAGGAUGAUCAGUCACACUGGAAGUGAGACACGGUCCAGACUCCUACGGGAGGCAGCAGUGGGGAAUAUUGGACAGUGGGCGAAAGCCUGAUCCAGCCAUGCCGCGUGUGUGAAGAAGGUCUUCGGAUUGUAAAGCACUUUAAGUUGGGAGGAAGGGCAGUAAGUUAAUACCUUGCUGUUUUGACGUUACCAGCAGAAUAAGCACCGGCUAACUUCGUG